GCCCGCGUGGCUCAGUGGUUGAGCGUCGACCUGUGAACCAGGAGGUCAGGGUUCGAUUCCCGGUCAGGGCA
rfam:Myotis brandtii contig286893, whole genome shotgun sequence.